rnacentral:snoRNA from 1 species
UCAGUCCACCUCAAUGCCAGACGGCUUAAAAAUACCAUGCCAUACUGAGCAUAAAAAAAAUGGACUAAUAUCAAUUGAAAUUGUUUUAACUAUCCUUGUGCCUGAAGAUAUAAGCCACUUCCUGCUCUCCUGGAAAUUAAAACAACACUA